ACCUGCAUUCGAAAGUGAUCGCGGUCUGGCCUGUGACCUGGUCAUUGAUAGUGCAGGGAGAGGAACGGCGAGAGCUUUCCCGUGUUUGGGGGGGUCCGUCCCUCUCCCCCAGACCCUGUCGCUGUCGGACA
rnacentral:snoRNA from 1 species